AGUCAUAUCCUAAAAAGAGGAGAGGGAGAAAAUUGAGUUAGAGAGCUAAAUAGGUCCUAAAUUCUAUAAUUUAAAGAAUCUGUCUGCUCCAUAUGAGGUAAAGUGCCAUAGAGGCAGUGCCAACCUGCAGCAGCAUUCCUCCUCCCUUCUGCUCUGCAUUCAAUGAGGACAUACAGGGCUCUGUGCUGGAGCACAAAUAUCAAUCAUACAGUGAAGGUGGGGCUCAGCACUUUCUCACCUGCAAACAAAGUCCGAUUGUGCAGUCAUGUUUUACUUCCUUCUACCCUAGGUCCUGUAUUAUUAAGCCUAUUUGGAAAGUUGAUUGAAUAUUUUUUUUAUAUGGAGAAAUGCAAUUCUCUCUUUUUUAUAUAAAAAAGUAUACUUAAUCCUGAAACGAGUUGGGCCUUCCCUGACACACAGGCUGAUUGACAGUCAAGGAGUGCAAGGGGAGGAUCGAAAGGACAGUAGAAAGUGUGAUAGAAGAUUGCGGUCUCAGCACCGAUUGCGAUGACCGUAUGUGUAAUAAACGGAUUAGCGUUAAUAUGGGGUCUCUGAGCUGUGAGGUGGUGCUGUUUGAACAGGUAUGCAGUAAACUUCAACAAAGGUAGACAAAAAAAAAUAAAUCGGCAAACCAGGCAUUUACGAUGAUAUUGCUUUAUUCAUCAGAGUGAUAGUUACGUCUCAGGCUGCCGGUGCAGAGUUCCCCCCCAUGUGC